UACGUAGGUGGCAAGCGUUGUCCGGAUUUACUGGGCGUAAAGAGCGCGCAGGCGGUCGGAUAAGUCGAAUGUGAAAGCCCCCGGCUCAACUGGGGAGGGUCAUUCGAUACUGUUCGACUCGAAGGCAGGAGAGGGAAGUGGAAUUCCCGGUGUAGUGGUGAAAUGCGUAGAUAUUGGGAGGAACACCAGUGGCGAAGGCGGCUACCUGGACCGGUACUGACGCUGAUGCGCGAAAGCGUGGGUAGCAAACAGG
rnacentral:rRNA from 1 species